GCCUCUGUAGUGAAUGGAUCAGCACGGCAGAUCAGAUAUCUGUAAGUGCGGGUUCGAGUUCCGUCUGAGGUC
rnacentral:tRNA from 1 species